AAUCAUCUUCUUCUCUCCACCUUUAAUUUUUUCGUCUCUUCUCUUCCUAAAGCAGUGUUUCUUCUUCUCCUCAAACCAUUUGCUCAGUUUUUAUUUUAUUUUAUUUUUUUCCCUUCUCUUCCUGAGCUCUAUUGAUUAAACUUAACCGAGUGUUUCAUCUUCCCCCAAAACCAUCAUCAAAUGCUUUCACACAUCAAAUUAGUUUGAAAAUAUGCUUCUCUCUUCCUUCUCCCUAAACUCUGUCAUGCUGAAUCUUCUCUGUCGCACGAUCUCUUUUUUCUUCCCCUUUCCGGUUACUAUAUUGUUACUGAUGUUUACUCUGCUUAUUUUGCUUAAUGUCGUUUUCCUUUACUUGCAGGAGGGACAAUUUCUUAGAGAUGUUGGAUUGGUAUGACUCAUUGCAGGCAGAGAACUGUUCAAAAAAUAUGGAAGACUGUGAUAUAUGGCAAGUCCUUGCAGUUUUUAGUGUCAAAAUUUGGCAACACAGAUUUAUUCCAAAAAAAGAAGUGAUGAAAAACCUAAUGUUCCUUCAUGUAUCUAAUUCAUUGCUUGAAAACCUCUGGCUACCUGCUUCUUGCUAGAUCAUCCUCACGCACUAUAGUAGGUAAGCAAGUUCAAGACGCUACUUGGAAUCUACUUGGAAUCUACAAUUAUAUCUCUUUUUUCCGCAAUCAGUUAUCUUUGUUUGUUUUUAUUUCUUUUUGUUCCUUAACCUGAAUUUGUUUCACUUGCUAAAGCAUGAUGAAAAAUGAGGUUCCAUUUCUUUCUAAUUUCUCUCUUUAUUAGUUCAGUUUGUUCACUCUAUUUUCACUACGAUUUAAGGUUUGAUUCUUUUUCCUAAGCCUAUAAAUUAGUAUUUUUUAGCUUUUGUUUAUGAUUAUUGCUGGACCAGUUUUAUAUCAAUGUGCUACUUUGGUCCAAAAGGAACAAUUGUUACGAACUGCUAUUUUGGUAAUUAGGACUUGAUUUUUUGUGUUGUCAUGACUAACCUCAUGUAGUUUCUAAUGUUCUCUCUAAUUGGAUAAGUACCUUAUUGACUGAUAAUUGCUUAGUGAUAUAUGCAACUUAAUUGGAUGCUGCAUUUUUGAGAUUUUGAAGCCUUCAUCUUUGAGCUUAUUUGUGUUAUAUUAAUGGAUAAUGCUUUACUCUUGCUCUCACUGUUUUGAAAGAGCCAUGGGAAGUACCAUCUGAAUGCUUGCUUUUUGAAAGAGUCAUGGGAAGUACCAUCUGGCUUGCUUCUGAAAUCUGGAAUGCCAUGUUGGUUGUACUAAUCUUUCUAAUUCCUCAAUUAUUCAGGCCUCUUAGUUUGCUUAUUAAAAACAAAUUCAGGCCUCUUAGUGAAAACUUAUUGUCUUAUGCUCUACGAAUUUUACAGGGGCCGGCUUCACUGCUUCAUUUUUUUUAUCUUCUCCAUAGACUACAUGGAAAGAAGGAGAGCAUGUGGAACAAGAUUGUUAGGCAUGAUGAUGAAGAUAAUGGUCUGUUAUGGUAGAGCCAUUAAUAGGAGUAGAUGGUUCUUCAAGUACAACAUUGAUUUAUGGAAAAUAUUGGCUCACUCCAAAGAAUGCUUUCUAUUUGGUCAUUAUUAGUAUAUACUUAUAAUUGGAUUUCUCAUGUUUGUUCUUAGUUGUCGCUAUAAUUUAUAUUAAUCUUACAAUUUCAUUUUUUA